rnacentral:rRNA from 1 species
UACGAAGGGUGCAAGCGUUACUCGGAAUUACUGGGCGUAAAGCGUGCGUAGGUGGCUCGUUAAGUCUGAUGUGAAAGCCCUGGGCUCAACCUGGGAAUGGCAUUGGAAACUGGCGACCUAGAGUGCGGUAGAGGGUAGUGGAAUUCCCGGUGUAGCAGUGAAAUGCGUAGAGAUCGGGAGGAACAUCUGUGGCGAAGGCGACUACCUGGACCAGCACUGACACUGAGGCACGAAAGCGUGGGGAGCAAACAGG